GAUGAACGCUAGCUACAGGCUUAACACAUGCUCUUCCAGGAUGGACGACCGGCGCACGGGUGAGUAACGCGUAUCCAACCUGGCCCAUACCACGGGAUAGCCCGUCGAAAGGCGGAUUAAUACCGUAUGCUGUCAUUAAGAUGCAUAUAUUGAUGACGAAAGGACUGGCGGUAUGGGAUGGGGAUGCGUCUGAUUAGCUUGUUGGCGGGUAACGGCCCACCAAGGCGACGAUCAGUAGGGGUUCUGAGAGGAAGGUCCCCCACAUUGGAACUGAGACACGGUCCAAACUCCUACGGGAGGCAGCAGUGAGGAAUAUUGGUCAAUGGGCGCAAGCCUGAACCAGCCAAGUAGCGUGAGGGAAGACUGCCCUACGGGUUGUAAACCUCUUUGUUUGGGAAUAAAGUGCGGGACGUGUCCCGCAUUGCAUGUACCAUUUGAAUAAGGACCGGCUAAUUCCGUG
rnacentral:rRNA from 1 species